UACGUAGGGGGCAAGCGUUGUCCGGAAUCAUUGGGCGUAAAGCGCGUGUAGGCGGCCUGGAAAGUCUGGUGUGAAAUCCUGCGGCUCAACCGCAGACUGUCACUGGAUACUGUCAGGCUUGAGUCCGGAAGAGGAGAGUGGAAUUCCUGGUGUAGCGGUGGAAUGCGCAGAUAUCAGGAGGAACACCAAUGGCGAAGGCAGCUCUCUGGUACGUGACUGACGCUGAGACGCGAAAGCGUGGGGAGCAAACAGG
rnacentral:rRNA from 1 species